rnacentral:rRNA from 1 species
CGUAUAUUAAAAUUGUUGCAGUUAAAAAGCUCGUAGUUGAAUUUCUGCUGCAUUGCUUGUGUCCCUCUGGGGUCUGUGCAUGUGGCUUUUUUCGGACGGAGUUUCUUUGUCUGAAUGUUUACUUUGAGAAAAUUAGAGUGCUCAAAGCAGGCUUUCGCCUUGAAUAGUUUAGCAUGGAAUAAUAAAGUAGGACUUUGGUUCUAUUUUGUUGGUUUUAGGUACCAAAGUAAUGGUUAAUAGGAACAGUUGGGGGCAUUCGUAUUUAACUGUCAGAGGUGAAAUUCUU